rnacentral:rRNA from 1 species
GACGAACGCUGGCGGCGUGCUUAACACAUGCAAGUCGAACGGAAAGGCCCUGCUUGCCGGGUACUCGAGUGGCGAACGGGUGAGUAACACGUGGGUGAUCUGCCCUGCACUUCGGGAUAAGCCUGGGAAACUGGGUCUAAUACCGGAUAGGAGCCAUUUUUAGUGUGAUGGUUGGAAAGUUUUUUCGGUGUAGGAUGAGCUCGCGGCCUAUCAGCUUGUUGGUGGGGUAAUGGCCUACCAAGGCGGCGACGGGUAGCCGGCCUGAGAGGGUGGACGGCCACAUUGGGACUGAGAUACGGCCCAGACUCCUACGGGAGGCAGCAGUGGGGAAUAUUGCACAAUGGGCGCAAGCCUGAUGCAGCGACGCCGUGUGGGGGAUGACGGCCUUCGGGUUGUAAACUCCUUUCGCUAGGGACGAAGCUUUUUGUGACGGUACCUAGAUAAGAAGCACCGGCUAACUACGUG